rnacentral:lncRNA from 1 species
CUCAACUCGGGGCAGCAGCAGGAGCUCUGACUGCCCUUGGGUCCUGUCCCCAUGCAGCAGCGGCAGCAGCUCUUCACUGCCCAUGGGUCCUGUCCCCAUGCUAUUCCAUACUAUUCUCUAAAUAAAAAAGCACUACUGCCAGUCCUUGAGAGUCCAAGAAAUCUUUCUUUCGACUCUUCGGCUCGCCAUCCCCGCAUCAUGACCACCAGAGAUGGCCUUAGCUGCAGAGAGAUGCCUUGCUCAAAAGCGUGACCUACCUGGGGUACUCACAUCCAUUGACUGAUCACGGCGGGGCGAUAAAGACCUGACAUUUUUGGCUCACUAGGGGGCAACUCCAGUGGGCCAUAUUGGCUCUGGAGCUCCCUGUGAGUUGCGCUGAGGCCUUCAGACCUGCAUCACAGCUCAACUUAUCCCUCUGUUCAAUUGCUUCCUCCUCCUUGCUUCCACAGGUGUUGAUACCUAAUAAAUAUACUGCAUGUCA